GCUUGGUUGGCUCAGUUGGUAGAGCGUUGGUCUCAUACGCAGUAGUGCAAUGACGGUUUCGAGCGCGAAAAAAAAAAACGAAGCUGAUAUCCAAAGGCCGUGAGUUCGAGCCUCACACCGAGCA